GUUUUGAUAAAUCUCCCCCAUUGUGUGUACCCGAUCCAACCUAUGUUCAGACCCUGACUCAUCUGCACAGAGUUGUGCACUUACUGUGUUACAUCUAUGGAACUAUCCAGAGUAGGAGCAAAUCCCCAUAGCAAACCUAUCCUGCUCCGGAUUCAUGGUCUGAGGAAGUACGGAAGUACAAAAUAGCUGUGACCACCUCGCUGGGAUUCCCGUCGCAACAGACAGAGAGGUGUGGCCAGGGGCCGCCAAGCCUCUCUUUUUCAACAAGAGCCAGAGUGCCUUUCUCCUUCCGACAGUCUGUUCGACACUCAGUCCUGCUGCACAUGUGCCUUCUCUUUCUAUUAUGUCGCUUGCACUGGGAGCAAGUGAUUCUGUUAUGGCAGCGACGAGAGGCUUAGACAUACAAAACACUAAGUGCUAAGACUUUGGGCGCCUGAAGACUAAUAUUUUUUUUUUUUUGGAGAUUGCAAAAGCAAAGAUUCGCUGUCAGUUGUGAUACUGAAAAGUUGACUCUUAAUAUUGUCUUCAGAAUGUUCUAUGAUUUUGUCUCUUUAAACUUUAUAGUGUUAACAAUUUACUUUGUUUUACGUAGCUUUUGCUAGAUAACCAGAAUAAUAUUUAUUCAAAGAAAAUCGCAGCACACCAAAGAUAAAGUGUUAAAAUCAGUAAAGAUUUAUUCCAUCACAAGCAGUGUUAGGCUAUGUUCACACAGUGGAAUAUGUGAGGAAUGUCCGCCCAGAAAACACGGACUGACAUUCCACACAUUUGCUUGAUUCAGCAGCAAUAGGAUCAUUUCGAAGUGCACCAUCUUCAUAGACGGCAACGCAUUACAAGCGUGAUCUGUAGAAACAUUGAAUCAGUUCAAGGUUUCUGCGGACGUCAGAAUCAGGAUUUCCGUCGUAUGUACAGUGCAGCAGAAUCCCUAUAAAUUAAAUGGGACUCCGCAGCAGCG